GGUGAGAUGGCCGAGCGGUCUAAGGCGCCAGACUAAGGUGAUUCAGUCACGUGAUCUGGUCCGAAAGGGCGUGGGUUCGAAUCCCACUCUCAUCA
rnacentral:tRNA from 1 species